GUAUUCUAUGGUUUGCAGAAAGGUCAAAAAUUAUUGAUGCGUUUUCUCCAAGAAAACAAUUGUUUGUGGAAACAUUUAGUGGAGAUCUACCAUUGGCUAGGAGAAACUCCUUACUUAGAUUCUUGGAGAAGCGAAAAAAGAGGCUGACUAUGGUGUCACCUUAUGGUUUCCCAGUGCCCCCUAUUUAUGGCUCCUUAGGCCAUACUGCCUCCCGAAACAAGAAUUAGCAGAAGAUAUGAUCAUACAAUAAUAUAAUAUUGCUGAUCAUAUAGAUGGAUCUUAAUGUAAAUGUUAAUUUUGGGGAUUUGUCAGUACUACUCUUAUAUGUUACUAAGAUGUUAAUUUUCCCAGUCAACUAUGGAAUAUAACUAGCAGGAUAGUCGGACACAUAAGUGCACAUUUUUAAUACAUAGGAACCCCUCGGAGGGGCGAAUCUAGACUUUGACCUAUGAGUUCACGUGUACCUUCUAGUCUUUGUUCAAACUCUGUAUUUGUAUCGGAAAAUUUACUAAAUAAGUAUAAAUAUUGA